UGGAAGUAAAAGUCGUAACAAGGUCUCCGUUGGUGAACCAGCGGAGGGAUCAUUACCGAGUUAUACAACUCCCAAACCCACUGUGAACCUUACCUCAGUUGCCUCGGCGGGACCGCCCCGGCCGCCGCGCAAGCGGCGCCGGACUCCAAGGCGCCCGCCGCAGGGACCCAAAACUCUUUUGCAUUACGCCCAACGGCGGGAAUUUUUUUCUCUGAGUGCAUAAGCAAAACAAAUGAAUCAAAACUUUCAACAACGGAUCUCUUGGUUCUGGCAUCGAUGAAGAACGCAGCGAAAUGCGAUAAGUAAUGUGAAUUGCAGAAUUCAGUGAAUCAUCGAAUCUUUGAACGCACAUUGCGCCCGCCAGCAUUCUGGCGGGCAUGCCUGUUCGAGCGUCAUUUCAACCCUCGAGCCCCCCCGGGGGCCUCGGUGUUGGGGGACGGCACACCAGCCGCCCCCGAAAUGCAGUGGCGACCUCGCCGCAGCCUCCCCUGCGUAGUAGCACACACCUCGCACCGGAGCGCGGAGACGGUCACGCCGUAAAACGCCCAACUUCUUAGAGUUGACCUCGGAUCA
rnacentral:rRNA from 1 species